GGCAAUUUUUCAUCCCCAAUGUCUUGAGAUCAUGUUGACCGAGUUUGGCGGCAAUCGAGUAAAAAACCUAUGACAAGUAUUUCAAAUUCCAGAGCAUGCGCUUUUUACAUUACUCUAAAUAGCUGACUUCCUGUUGGGCGGAGCCUAUGAUAUUCAAUACGAAAGUUGUUCGGCACAAUAAGAUCUAUAUGUGUACUGAGUUUCAUAUGAAUAUUGGCAAGUAUGUGUGAGCUAUACAUCAACAUUUCUGACUGUGAUCCAGGGGGCGCCGUAGAGCCCCUGUGCCACGCCCGGGUCCCAGCUUCUGCAGGCUCCUAAAGGCCACAGAUUCCAAAGUGUUUGCAAAUUUUCAAGAGUUUUUGAGUAUGUUAAGGACCCCAAAAGCCCCCACAACUUUGACGAAAAAUAUGACUACUAAACCCAAAAUAGCCAACUUCCUGUUGGGCGGAGCCUAUGACAUGCAGUACGAAAGUUGUUUGGUUUGAUGAGAUCUACAUGUGUACCGAGUUUCGUGUGUCUACGUGCAAGUAUGUAUGAUAUAUGGCCCUCAGUAUUCCAGGGGGCGCUGUAGAGCCCCUGUGCCACGCCCGUGUAUCAGUCUCUGCCCGGCCCUAAUGGCCGCAGGUUCCAAUGUGUGUGCCAAUUUUCAAGACUUUUUAAGCAUGUUAAGGACCCCAAAAGCCCCCGAAACCUUGGAAAAAAAUUAGAAGAAUAAAUAAUAAUAAUAAUUAAAGCUGCAAGCAGCGAUGAACGGGCCCUCGCACCCGGGCUCACCGCCAUCGUGUGGCUUUAGUAAAAAGGUGAACGUUGAGAAAUAUGCAUUUAAACUCAUAAAUAUAAGUGCAAUAUAUCAAAGUUUAUUCCAUAUGUGUGCCAAUCUUCCUGUUGUCAGCAGGUGGCGCUAUCGUUAUAAUGGAAUAUUGGCCUUCAGAUGUGUUCAAGCCAGGACCCUUAUCACACAUGUGAAGUUUGGGCAAGAUCGGACAUUUUAUGCCUGAGUUAUAACAUCUUUUAUUCCCAUGGCGAGACAUCGAAAUUCGUCAUGGCGACAUGGACAUGCCUUUUAACAAAAAUUCAAGAUCUUCACAACUAAACAUCACACAGGUCUUUAGAUUAGACUGACCACAAAAAAGACAUUGAUGUCAUAAAAUUUCUAGGAGUAGUUUGUCACAGUGUAAAAUAUGUCACUUCCAGUUGCCAAUAGGUGGCGCUAUGACUAUAACUGAAUAUUGGCAUGUAGAUCUGUUCAGGUGAAGAGUCUUAACAAAAAUGUGAAGUUUGGGGCGGAUUGGACAUUGUAUGUGUGAGUUAUAGCACCAUCAUUUUUCACGGCGAAUCAUCGAAAUUUGUCAGGCCGCCAUGGACACGCCCUUUAACGAAACCUCAAUUCCUUCGCAAUUUAACAUCGCAAAGGGCUUUAGAUUACACUGACCAAGUUUGGUGUUGAUCUGAAUAAAUCUCUAGGAGGAGUUCGUUAAAAUACAACCCCUGAAAGUGACAAAAACAACACCAAUUUUGCAGGGAAAAUUAAAAAUAACCGACUUCCUGUUGGGAUUCGGAUUUCGUACCAAGAGACUUUUUUGUAGCUAUUGGUGUGUUGCAUAUGUUUACCGAUUUUCGUACAUGUAUAUGACAUGUAGCUCGAGGCGCACUCCAUUGAAAAUGUAUAGGUGGCGCUAUCGAGCCAUUUUGCCACACCCAAUGGAAUAUUAGCCUCCAGAUGUGUUCAGGUCAGUACUCUUAUCAAACAUUUGAAGUUUGGGCAAGAUCUGAUAUUUUAUGACUGAGUUACAACAACUUCUACUCCCAUGGCGAGACAUCGAACUUUGACAUGGCGCCAUGGACACGCCCUUUAACGAAAACUCAAGAUCUUCUCAAUUUAACAUCGUACAGGCCUUUAGAUUAGACUGACGACAAAAAAGACAUUGAUGUCAAAAAUUUCUAGGAGUAGUUUGUCGCAGCGUAAAAUAUGUCACUUCCUGUUGCCAAUAGGUGGCGCUAUGACUAUAACUGAAUAUGGUCAUGUCAAACUGUUCAGGACAGGAGUUUCAUCAAACAUGUGAAGUUUGGGGCAGAUUGGUCAUUGUAUGUCUGAGUUAUAGCAACUUCCUGUUUCAUGGCGAAUCAUCGAAAUUCGCCAGGCCGCCACACACAGGCCCUUUAACGAAAACUCAAAACCUUCGCAAUUUAACAUCGCAAAGGCCUUUAGAUUAGGCAUACCAAAUUUGGUGUUGAUCUGAAUUAAUCUCUAGGAGGAGUUCGUUAAAAUACAACGCAUGGAAAUGACAAAAAUGACACAAAAUUUGCUCAUAAUAUUAGAAAUAACCGACUUCCUGUUGGGUUUCGGAUUUUGCUCCAAGAGACUUUUUUGUAGGUAUUGGAGAGUUACAUGUGUAUACCGAUUUUCAUACAUGUACAUGAAACGUAGCUCGAGGCGCACACCGUUGAAUGUGUAUAGGUGGCGCUGUUGAGCCAUUUUGCCACACCCACUUCUGAAACCCAUAUCAGACGUAAAUUUUCGCCAGUUCUGAGGUGUGUGCAAAGUUUCAUGACUUUUCGAGCAUGUUUAGGCCCUCAAAAAUGCGAUUCAUCUUAGAGAAGAAGAAUAAUAAUAAUAAUAAUAAUAAUAAUAAACGGAGCAAUUCCAAGAGGGUCCUCACACCAUCGGUGCUCGGGCCCUAAUAAUAAUAAUAAUAAACGGAGCAAUUCCAAGAGGGUCCUCACACCAUCGGUGCUCGGGCCCUAAUUAAAGCUGCAAGCAGCGAUGAACGGGCCCUCGCACCCGGGCUCACUGCCAUCGUGUGGCUUUAGUAAAAAGGUGAACGUUGAGAAAUAUGCAUUUAAACUCAUAAAUAUAAGUGCAAUAUAUCAAAGUUUAUUCCAUAUGUGUGCCAAUCUUCCUGUUGCCAGCAGGUGGCGCUAUCGUUAUAAUGGAAUAUUGGCCUUCAGAUGUGUUCAAGCCAGGACUCUUAUCACACAUGUGAAGUUUGGGCAAGAUCGGACAUUUUAUGCCUGAGUUAUAACAUCUUUUAUUCCCAUGGCGAGACAUCGAACUUCGUCAUGGCGACAUGGACAUGCCUUUUAACAAAAACUCAAGAUCUUCACAACUAAACAUCACACAGGUCUUUAGAUUAGACUGACCACAAAAAAGACAUUGAUGUCAUAAAAUUUCUAGGAGUAGUUUGUCUCAGUGUAAAAUAUGUCACUUCCAGUUGCCAAUAGGUGGCGCUAUGACUAUAACUGAAUAUUGGCAUGUAGAUCUGUUCAGGUGAAGAGUCUUAUCAAAAAUGUGAAGUUUGGGGCAGAUUGGACAUUGUAUGUGUGAGUUAUAGCACCAUCAUUUUUCAUGGCGAAUCAUCGAAAUUUGUCAGGCCGCCAUGGACACGCCCUUUAACGAAACCUCAAUUCCUUCGCAAUUUAACAUCGCAAAGGGCUUUAGAUUACACUGACCAAGUUUGGUGUUGAUCUGAAUAAAUCUCUAGGAGGAGUUCGUUAAAAUACAACCCCUGAAAAUGACAAAAACAACACCAAUUUUGCAGGGAAAAUUAAAAAUAACCGACUUCCUGUUGGGAUUCGGAUUUCGUACCAGGAGACUUUUUUGUAGCUAUUGGUGUGUUACAUAUGUUAACCGAUUUUCGUACAUGUACAUGACAUGUAGCUCGAGGCGCACUCCAUUGAAAAUGUAUAGGUGGCGCUAUCGAGCCAUUUUGCCACACCCAAUGGAAUAUUAGCCUCCAGAUGUGUUCAGGUCAGGACUCUUAUCAAACAUUUGAAGUUUGGGCAAGAUCUGAUAUUUUAUGACUGAGUUACAACAACUUCUACUCCCAUGGCGAGACAUCGAACUUUGACAUGGCGCCAUGGACACGCCCUUUAACGAAAACUCAAGAUCUUCUCAAUUUAACAUCUUACAGGCCUUUAGAUUAGACUGACGACAAAAAAGACAUUGAUGUCAAAAAUUUCUAGGAGUAGUUUGUCGCAGCGUAAAAUAUGUCACUUCCUGUUGCCAAUAGGUGGCGCUAUGACUAUAACUGAAUAUGGUCAUGUCAAACUGUUCAGGACAGGAGUCUCAUCAAACAUGUGAAGUUUGGGGCAGAUUGGUCAUUGUAUGUCUGAGUUAUAGCAACUUCCUGUUUCAUGGCGAAUCAUCGAAAUUCGCCAGGCCGCCACACACAGGCCCUUCAACGAAAACUCAAAAGCUUCGCAAUUUAACAUCGCAAAGGCCUUUAGAUUAGGCAUACCAAAUUUGGUGUUGAUCUGAAUUAAUCUCUAGGAGGAGUUCGUUAAAAUACAACGCAUGGAAAUGACAAAAAUGACACAAAAUUUGCUCAUAAUAUUAGAAAUAACCGACUUCCUGUCUGGUUUCGGAUUUUGCUCCAAGAGACUUUUUUGUAGGUAUUGGAGAGUUACAUGUGUAUACCGAUUUUCAUACAUGUACAUGAAACGUAGCUCGAGGCGCACACCGUUGAACGUGUAUAGGUGGCGCUGUUGAGCCAUUUUGCCACACCCACUUCUGAAACCCAUAUCAGACGUAAAUUUUCGCCAGUUCUGAGGUGUGUGCAAAGUUUCAUGACUUUUCGAGCAUGUUUAGGCCCUCAAAAAUGCGAUUCAUCUUAGAGAAGAAGAAUAAUAAUAAUAAAUAUAGCUGCAAGCAGCGAUGGCGGG